CGAAGUCGGAGAGAACGGUAACCAUGCGGUGGAUCAGCGGUCAGGAAAUCGGAGGACGGGUGCCAUAACGGUGUGUGCGAUAGGUGCACGUGACUAGUGGGGAUGUCCGUCUGGAAUACGACUGGCUAGAUACACGCAUGUCUGUCUUAGGUCAAUACGAGGUGGGAACAUGUGAGGUNUCUAGUUGUGAUGCGAUCGAGUUGGGAUUGGCUCAUUGGUGAUGAACUGGUUGGUAAGGUAGUGGAUUAUUAACGCGAUUAUCCGGAUCAGGAUUGACACGAUGACCGACAAAACGGGGACAGACGAUACGGGACGGACUCCUGGGGAAUGCAGCACGUGUGGAGGAUAGCAUGAUGGGGGAAGAGCCUGAUGUAUGAAUGCCGCGUGCUGUGUUGUAAGGCACCGGCGAUUGUGUAAGCGAAUGCAGCGUUGAUAGAUAGUUGCAGUUGCUUGAACUUGCAUUGCUUGGAGUCACCGGCAAGACUCAAUUACCGGCAUAACUCCGUGCCUAGC
rnacentral:rRNA from 1 species